rnacentral:rRNA from 1 species
UACGUAGGGUGCAAGCGUUGUCCGGAAUUAUUGGGCGGAAAGAGCUCGUAGGCGGUUUGUCGCGUCUGCUGUGAAAACUCAGGGCUUAACCCUGAGCUUGCAGUGGGUACGGGCAGACUAGAGUGCGGUAGGGGAGACUGGAAUUCCUGGUGUAGCGGUGAAAUGCGCAGAUAUCAGGAGGAACACCGGUGGCGAAGGCGGGUCUCUGGGCAGUAACUGACGCUGAGGAGCGAAAGCGUGGGGAGCGAACAGG